ACCGCGUGUGCGAUGAAGGCCUUCGGGUUGUAAAGCACUUUUCGAGAGGAAGAGGAAGGACGGUACUCUCGGAAUAAGUCUCGGCUAACUACGCGCCAGCAGCCGCGGUAAAACGUAGGAGGCGAACGUUAUCCGGAUUUACUGGGCGUAAAGCGCGUGUAGGUGGUUUGGUAAGUAGGGCGUGAAAGCUCCUGGCUCAACUAGGAGAGGUCGUUCUAAACUGCCAGACUUGAGGAUGGUAGAGGGAGGUGGAAUUCCGGGUGUAGUAGUGAAAUGCGCAGAUAUUCGGAGGAACACCAGUGGCGAAAGCGGCCUCCUGGACCACACCUGACACUCAGACGCGAAAGCUAGGGUAGCAAACGGGAUUAGAGACCCCGGUAGUCCUAGCCGUAAACGAUGUAGACUUGACGUUGGUGGUUUAAUAUCCAUCAGUGUCGUAGCUAACGCGAUAAGUCUACCGCCUGGGGACUACGGCCGCAAGGUUAAAACUCAAAGGAAUU
rnacentral:rRNA from 1 species